GGCCCCAUCGUCUAGUGGCCUAGGACACCGGCUUUUCACGCCGGCAACGGGAGUUCGAAUCUCCCUGGGGUCA
rnacentral:tRNA from 1 species